rnacentral:lncRNA from 1 species
AUGAGGAGCCAAAGGGCAGCAGUGGGAUGCAGAUGGGAGGAAGUCAGAGAGGCAGGGGGCGGGGAUGACAAACACGCAUCUCUUCUAGACCAUUCUAGGGACUCUGUGCUCGCCCUUGAGAUGGCAGCCACUGGAGAGGAGCGGAUCAGUCAUGAUCUGAUUUGCAUCCGAGGGGACCACGCCCUGCUGAGCUGGCAGAGCCCGCAGUGUUGUGAGACCAGUUCAGGAGGCCACUGCAUGACGCAGACUCGGGAUGGUGGCGACAGGACCGGGGUGGUGACUGAGGAGUGGCAAGAAGUGGCCAGAGUCUGGUCACGUGUUGAAGGGCCCGUCCUAAUGCUGGCGACACAAUGGUGAGCAAGGCAGGCUGGGUCCCUGCCCCCAAGGACUUUCUGCUGCCAGUCACAGCUGGACAUAAAAAUCUGUAAGUAAACCCAGGAACCUUCAUUUAUCUUGGACCAAAUGGAGGGAAGAUUAGCUCUCUCGCCUUGGAGUGUGCAAAUAGGAGUUUGUUUGCCGCUAUCUCAGACGUAAAUGGGCUGGUUUCCUGCCAGCUGAGAGGACUGCUUCUCUCUUUUGGUUAAAUGGGGUUGACUUUGAUUCCAUAGGGUGCAUUGGUAUUGGCACGGCUUUGCCCAGACGAGGCUCGCCCAGCUGUUGUCAAACACGCCAGCUCUGAUCACUCAUCUCUGAUCAGUCCCAUCCAAGGCCGGGCAAAUCUGAUUUUCCCUCCUGUGCCAUAGCAGACAUCUCUAAUCAAGCCAGGCUCCUACAGUGCAUGGUUGAUUAGUCAUGUCUGCAUGGUCAUAGUAUUGGAAAUUGAGACUCUGUAUUCAGAUGUAUCCAGAUGUGUACCCUUCCUACUCCAGGUGGGAGGUUGCAGAGGUCAUGCUGCCAAACUCUAGGCUGCAC